rnacentral:rRNA from 1 species
GACGAGGGACCUAGCGUUGUUCGGAAUCAUUGGGCGUAAAGGGUGCGUAGGUUGCUAUGUAAGUCAGUUGUGAAAGCCCAGGGCUCAACCCUGGAAGUGCUUCUGAUACUGCGUAGCUUAAUAUUGGAGAGGUGAGUGGAAAUUUCCAGGUGUAGUGGUGAAAUACGUAGAUUAUCUGGAGGAACACCGGCGGCGAAGGCGGCUCACUGGCCCUAUAUUGACACUGAAGCACGGAAAGCGUGGGGGAGCAAACAGG